GACGAACGCUGGCGGCGUGCUUAACACAUGCAAGUCGAACGGAAAGGCCUCUUUCGGGGGGUACUCGAGUGGCGAACGGGUGAGUAACACGUGUGUAACCUGCCCUUGACUUUGGGAUAACUUCAGGAAACUGGGGCUAAUACCGGAUAGGAGCUCCUGCUGCAUGGUGGGGGUUGGAAAGUUUCGGCGGUUGGGGAUGGACUCGCGGCUUAUCAGCUUGUUGGUGGGGUAGUGGCUUACCAAGGCUUUGACGGGUAGCCGGCCUGAGAGGGUGACCGGCGACAUUGGGACUGAGGUACGGCCCAGACUCCGACGGGAGGCAGCAGUGGGGAAUAUUGCACAAUGGGUGGAAGCCUGAUGCAGCAACGCCGUGUGCGGGAUGACGGCCUUCGGGUUGUAAACCGCUUUCGCUCAUGACGAAGCUUUGUGUGACGGUAGUGGGUAAAGAAGCACCGGCUAACUACGUG
rnacentral:rRNA from 1 species